rnacentral:rRNA from 2 species
AUAGAAUGACUCUUGGCAACGGAUAUCUAGGCUCUUGCAUCGAUGAAGAACGUAGCGAAAUGCGAUACUUGGUGUGAAUUGCAGAAUCCCGUGAACCAUCGAGUCUUUGAACGCAAGUUGCGCCCGAUGCCAUUAGGUUGAGGGCACGUCUGCCUGGGCGUCACAU